GAUGAACGCUGGCGGCGUGCCUAAUACAUGCAAGUCGAGCGAACAGAUAAGGAGCUUGCUCCUUUGACGUUAGCGGCGGACGGGUGAGUAACACGUGGGUAACCUACCUAUAAGACUGGGAUAACUUCGGGAAACCGGAGCUAAUACCGGAUAAUAUUUCGAACCGCAUGGUUCGAUAGUGAAAGAUGGUUUUGCUAUCACUUAUAGAUGGACCCGCGCCGUAUUAGCUAGUUGGUAAGGUAACGGCUUACCAAGGCAACGAUACGUAGCCGACCUGAGAGGGUGAUCGGCCACACUGGAACUGAGACACGGUCCAGAGUCCUACGGGAGGCAGCAGUAGGGAAUCUUGCGCAAUGGGCGAAAGCCUGACGGAGCAACGCCGCGUGAGUGAUGAAGGUCUUCGGGUCGUAAAGCUCUGUUAUUAGGGAAGAACAGACGUUUAAGUAACUGUGCACGUCUUGACGGUACCUAAUCAGAAAGCCACGGCUAACUACGUG
rnacentral:rRNA from 1 species